AUGAAAAUUAUUGGAUGGAACUGCCGGGGACUCGAAAAUGGCCUGACAGUUCGCAGCCUCCUUGAGCUAGGGAGGUCGGAGGAUCCGGAUGUUUUAUUCUUGUGCGAGACGAAGCUGUUUGAGAAAGAGUUGGAGAGGUUCAGGUGGUUGUUGGGGCUCGCCAACAUGUGUGCUUGGAGUUCCGAAGGACGGAGUAGAGGAGUAGUGAUGUUCUGGAGGCGCGGAAUUGAUAUCUCCUUAAGAUCGUAUGGUAGGAGGCAUGUGGAUGUGGAUGUUUAUGAAGAAGAUGGAAGGGUG
rnacentral:rRNA from 1 species